rfam:Gossypium hirsutum cultivar TM-1 chromosome 5, whole genome shotgun sequence
UGUUAAAAAUUUCAUCAAUUUUUACUAUUAAAAAUUGGCGUAGCAAACGGAAUAAACAGAUGGUUACAUGUGGCGUGCCUCGUGUACCUCAUUCUAAUGUACAGUGACCAAUUUUUAACAAUAGAAAUAGAUGAAAUUUUUAACA